AACCCUCUUGAGAGAGAAACAGAGAGAGAAAGGUCAUCUUGAGGUGUGAGCGACUUGUGGGUCUUUCUCUCGAAUGGAUCGGUUCGUCAGUGCCCAGGCUCCUUGUCUCUCGGUAGGAGGGCCUCCCUCUCAAGUGGGCUUCUAGUUUCCGGCAAACUAAUUGCUCAGAAGGCGGUGGUAAGUUUUUGAAGCUAGCGGGAGUGACUGGAAGUGCUACUGCUCUUAGCAAAGUCUUGGGAUUAGUUCGUGAGCUUGUUCUUGCUGCUGUAUUUGGUGUUGGUCCUGUCGUAGAUGCGUUCGGAUAUGCGUCCAUUGUACCAGGAUUUUUUCUGAUAAUCCUUGGAGGAAUCAAUGGACCAAUCCACAUAGCAAUGGUAUCGGCCUUAAGAUACCUUUGAGCCUUGGCAUUCUCAUGUACACAUUAGCGGCUUUUCUUAUUGAUGCAAUCACAACAGGAUUGUUAUUGAAAACAAGCAGUGGAUUGAUCACGAGAAGCAUGGCUAUACUUCAGCUGAGAAUCAUGGCGCCUUGUGUAACACUGGCGUGCUUGAUGGGAAUCGGCUGUGGAAGUUUUGACCGAGCUUUCACGUCCAGUUUGUAGCCAAACUUUGGAAUGGGUUUCGUGUGCAGUGUCUCGGGAAGAUACGGGAUUGCAUCCUUGAGUCCUGCUCUAUCAAGCAUAUCGAUCAUUCUCGCUGCUGCAAUUCAUUGCAAGCUUUGCAAUCCUCAUUGCCUUGAGCUUUAAAGUCGAUUCAUACAAAGUGGUGCUUGACAGGAGGUGUUUUGCUCGUUUUGGCCUCGACAGUGGGAGCUUUGGCUCAAUGGCUUUUGCAGAUCUUUGCUCAAGAUGAUCGAGGCAUCAAGCUUUGCAUGCUUUUAAUGACCGGUCUCGCGAUCCCUCUCGCUAAGCCGAUCGUCCGAGCUCUCGUCCAGUGCUACACAUUUGGCGACUCCGCCGCUCAAGCCGUAUCAUUGCUCGUCAAGCACUAUGCGAUGGCCUCUACUUGCGACCUCCUUGAACGUAUUUUCUACGCUCUUGGCGAUCUCGAUUUUACGUGAGCUUGGCUGCCAUCUAACGCUCUCUUGGACUGGCUGCUCGUUGGAAAACUUUGUAGAAACUCUCUCUCUCUCUCUCUCUCUCUCUCUCUCUCUCUCGCUCCAGGUAAUGGCCACUUCAAUGGCACCGCUACGUAAAAUUCUAGAUGGGCCUGACAGCCAAAGCUUUUGGAGAAGCUCACAACACCAGCUCCUCAGAUGAUCAAACUUCCGGUUGCUUCCUUUUGUUGCAGCUUUUAGACGACGGUGCGACCUUGUCAGGCAUCCCAAAAUUUAGCGCAUGACUGUUGCGGAGUUUUUGGAACGGAGUGGAGGCUCCACGCUUGUUGAUGUAAGCUGGUGCCCCAGAAGGAGGCUUUCUUCAAGACUGUCGGAAAUAUGUAUCAUUCGAGGAACUUAGCUGGAUCUAGGUUGAAAAGGAGACGGAGUGAAAAAGCCGCGAGGAGGAAUUCUUCAUGGAUCGUGCCGAGAAAGAGCGCAAUUCUUCUCACACAGCGAUGCAUUCGUCGCGGGGAAUGAGAACUCUUCAUCGUUCCAGCGCCAAAAUACAAUACCGUGAAAGAAAUCUACCUCUAGCCGAGCUCCUUGCCUGGAAAUCGACACACAGCAUUGGAGCGCAAUCCGGCAUUGCGUGGCGAAGCAUGGCUCCCGGCGACGGAUGAGCAGCGAAUACCUCGCGUGAAGCAGUGACAUUCCGGGGGAUACGCGAUCGAUGGAGCAGCUGAGCGCCGCGAGAGCAUCGAUUCUCUCCUCGUCGCGCUGGAAGAUCACCAAAACCCAACGGCUAGAAUACUGCCACGUAGGACCACCGUCUAAUAAGAUUGUUUUUCUAAACAGCCGUCAGAUCCUUUUCA